GCUGUGUUCAAGUACAACACAAACAGCAAUAGCAAUGGCGUUACUGCCAGAAACGGGUAGCCAAUUUUGAAACUGCCAAAUGAUUCAGAAUUUGUGGGGGGCGUAACGAUAACAAACGAGUUGGAAGCCUUGAAAUUAAGCGCCAUUACGACUUUAGCAGACGAGAAAAGAAUACAUUUUGCAGACGAUGUGUUACGCCAAAGCAGAUCCAUCAAAUCGACGGGGAAACUUCAAUCCAAUUCGUCCGAGCUGCAAACCCAAAUUCAAUCAGCUGAUUGCUGCACACAUACUGUUCGCCUGGACGUGAUCAAAACAAAAAGAAAAAACCUUGUCUUGACGGCUUUUUCAUCGCUGCAAUGGCCGUUGCUAAUUGAAGAGAAAGUCGCAGUUCAAAGUCGGCCUGUUAUUUGGCCUCUAGUUUUCCCUCGCCACUCAAAACGUCUUGCUAAUUCCGCCGAAUGUUGACAGACGGGAGACGUGGAAAGAGAAUUCCUCCUUGUUCCAGCAUCGUAGCUACGCGUUCCUGCGAAUUGUUUGCCGCCCAUUAAACGACCAUGUCUGACGACCUCAUAAAAGGACUCGUCGGCUCUUUCAUUCACAAUUCCCACAAGAACAAAGGGACUUCACGGAUUAAAUACCCUGUUUGUUUUUUCAUUUGUCUUGUCAUCCGACAUUUCCAGGAUACGAGUCAACACCACCACCAACAAUGUCAUAAAUCGGAACGGUUCGUCUCACGUAGAUAAAAACCUUUGCGGAAUAUUCAACGAAUCAAAAUCUGGCAAUUGUUGUUUUUAUCGACUCUAUUUUGAAACCAACAUUAUAACCGAAAUUUAAAUAGCCUCGGUUUAUGCAAGACAUAGUGCCCUUGUGGAGAGCUGUACUCAUCACAUAUAGCGACUCUUAAAAGACAAAUAUCAAAGCUGAAUUCUCCUAUAGAAAAAAAUAUUUAGUGUAAAAUCUCCUAUUUAAAAUAUUAGUGUAUGGUGAAACGAAAUGAAAUUUCUACGAACAGAA